GCAGAGGUGAUUCAGUGGUAGAAUUCUCACCUUUCAAUUCAGGGGAGCUGGGUUCGAUUCCUAGCCAAUGCA
rnacentral:tRNA from 1 species